rnacentral:rRNA from 1 species
UACGUAGGGUGCGAUCGUUAAUCAGAAUUACUGGGCGUAAAGCGUGCGCAGGCGGCUUUGCAAGACAGAUGUGAAAUCCCCGGGCUCAACCUGGGAACUGCAUUUGUGACUGCAAGGCUAGAGUACGGCAGAGGGGGAUGGAAUUCCGCGUGUAGCAGUGAAAUGCGUAGAUAUGCGGAGGAACACCAAUGGCGAAGGCAAUCCCCUGGGCCUGUACUGACGCUCAUGCACGAAAGCGUGGGGAGCAAACAGG